UACGGAGGGGGCAAGCGUUGUCCGGAUUUACUGGGCGUAAAGGGAGCGUAGGCGGACUUUUAAGUGAGAUGUGAAAUACCCGGGCUCAACCUGGGUGCUGCAUUUCAAACUGGAAGUCUAGAGUGCAGGAGAGGAGAAUGGAAUUCCUAGAGUAGCGGUGAAAUGCGUAGAGAUUAGGAAGAACACCAGUGGCGAAGGCGAUUCUCUGGACUGUAACUGACGCUGAGGCUCGAAAGCGUGGGGAGCAAACAGG
rnacentral:rRNA from 1 species